UACGUAGGGUGCGAGCGUUAAUCGGAAUUACUGGGCGCAAAGCGUGCGUAGACGGUUAGAUAAGUCGGAUGUGAAAGCCCCGGGCUCAACCUGGGAAUUGCAUUCGAGACUGCCUAGCUAGGAUGCGGAAGAGGGAAGCGGAAUUUCCGGUGUAGCGGUGAAAUGCGUAGAUAUCGGAAGGAACACCAGUGGCGAAAGCGGCUUCCUGGUCCAGCAUCGACGUUCAGGCACGAAAGCGUGGGGAGCAAACAGG
rnacentral:rRNA from 1 species